rnacentral:rRNA from 1 species
UACGUAGGUGGCAAGCGUUGUCCGGAUUUAUUGGGCGUAAAGCGCGCGCAGGCGGUUUCUUAAGUCUGAUGUGAAAGCCCUCGGCUUAACCGAGGAGGGUCAUUGGAAACUGGGAGACUUGAGUGCAGAAGAGGAAAGUGGAAUUCCACGUGUAGCGGUGAAAUGCGUAGAGAUGUGGAGGAACACCAGUGGCGAAGGCGACUUUCUGGUCUGUAACUGACACUGAGGCGCGAAAGCGUGGGGAGCGAACAGG